rnacentral:rRNA from 1 species
UGAGCAAUCUGCCCUUCACUCUGGGAUAACUCCGGGAAACCGGGGCUAAUACUGGAUACGACCUUCUGGCGCAUGCCAUGUUGGUGGAAAGCUUUUGUGGUUUUGGAUGGACUCGCGGCCCAUCAGCUUGUUGGUGGGGUAAUGGCCUACCAAGGCGACGACGGGUAGCCGGCCUGAGAGGGUGACCGGCCACACUGGGACUGAGACACGGCCCAGACUCCGUACGGGAGGCAG